GGAGGAAAGAACUCUAAGGACAGGCAAGAUGGUGGACGACGGUUUUCUGGAAAUGGUGGUCGAAGAGUAGGGAAAAACCAAGGUUCGUCUCCUCAACCAAAAGUGGUAAGGACAAUCACUGUGAAGGAUGUGGUUGCUGUUUUGGAGAGAGAGCCGCAGAUGUCCAAAUCCACUUUAAUGUAUCGAUUAAUUCAAUAGAAAAAGCAGAAUCAUUAUUUAUAAGCUUCUGAUGAUAAUUUAAUCGUCAAGGCCCAAGAGAUUUAUACCAUUGUGUCUGUUCUAUGGCCAUUUCAACCUCAAACGUCAAUUCAUAAUACAACCCCUAAAGAUUCAAAACUCAA